GACGAACGCUGGCGGCGUGCCUAAUACAUGCAAGUCGAGCGGACUUUCAAGAAGCUUGCUUUUUGAAAGUUAGCGGCGGACGGGUGAGUAACACGUGGGCAACCUGCCUGCAAGACGGGGAUAACUCCGGGAAACCGGGGCUAAUACCGGAUAAUAUCUUCCUUCGCAUGAAGGAAGGUUGAAAGGCGGCGCAAGCUGCCGCUUGCAGAUGGGCCCGCGGCGCAUUAGCUAGUUGGUGAGGUAACGGCUCACCAAGGCGACGAUGCGUAGCCGACCUGAGAGGGUGCUCGGCCACACUGGGACUGAGACACGGCCCAGACUCCUACGGGAGGCAGCAGUAGGGAAUCUUCCGCAAUGGACGAAAGUCUGACGGAGCAACGCCGCGUGAGCGAAGAAGGUCUUCGGAUCGUAAAGCUCUGUUGUCAGGGAAGAACAAGUACCGUUCGAACAGGGCGGUACCUUGACGGUACCUGACCAGAAAGCCACGGCUAACUACGUG
rnacentral:rRNA from 1 species